UUAAAGGUUUAGAGAGCAGAUUUCCCGAGACUCUUUCCUCCCACUGUUGGGACGGCAGUGUUGCAUUUUAGAAAGAAGAGUUGACUGGGUGUCAGAUAGACCUGAGCGUGAACCCCAGCUCUGCCACAUAAGCCUCUCCGGACCUCAGUUUGCUCAUCAGUCAAAUAAGUCCUCUAGACUUUUCCAGUUCUAAUCAGGCUGUUCUCUGCCAGGGUUUGGCGAGGGCUGCUGUCAAACCAGGAGGGACGUGAGCAACGAGCAAGCCCCUGAGCUGUGCCCGCCCGUGCUGUCUGCAACUGUGGGGCCACAAGCCGUGGAUCUUGGCACUCUCCCCACCCCACCGGAUCCCCCAAGCCACUCCAAACCCUGCUCCUGUCCCGCAUACCUCUCAGUCUAGAUCUCCAACUGAACAUCUGCACUAAGACAUCAGAGUUGACAUUUAAGAAGAGCAGUUCUUUCGGAGAGAAUGCCCCAGCUUUAGACAUCCGGUGACCGGCCAGUCCCCGUUCCAGGCUAGCCGGCUCGGCCUCUUGCUCAUUUCAUGAACAGAGCACCGUUUGCUGGGGUGUUCUGCUCAUUUUCCAGCUUGACAACAGAGCACCUUGUGCAGGCAAAUGUAUCAGGGAAUGUGGCUGAAUGUGUAUCUGAGCUCAGCAAAGUAUUUCAUGAAGACGUGUAAUGCCUUUGGACGAGACUGAGAAAUUUUCACUAAAUGUCCAACUAAGAGUCUCCUGCAACCUGUAAUAGUUCCUCAAGACCAGAUGGGUUAACUGCAUGUAUGUUCUGGAUUGAGAUUUUGGACAUGAGGAUUCUCCUGACUCUGUGACUAUUCAUGCAUGGUGGGCAAGCCAUUCACCUUUCCUCAACCUUGGUUUUCUUCUCUGUAAAAUGUCAAGAGUAGAAGACAUCAUCUCUACUUAAAGGCCGCAGUUGGAGAGCUGGCACCCUAUAGCUACAUUGAAGAGAUUCUUCAAAGAUAUAAACAUACAAGUACAGGAAAAUAGGAGAGAUGACAAGAGCAAUGAAAUUUUGGAAGCUGGAAAGUACAUGGACAAGUAGUAACUGAUUUAACAACAGACCCAAGAAAGUUGGCUUCGAACUGUAGAAUCUUCAGGAGGCUCAGGAAUUGGCAGCAUCAGGAUACUCAUUUCAUCUCACCAAACUUUCUGCUUAACCCUGUAUCUGAGAGCUGGAGGGGGUGCUUACCAAAAACAAGGCCCAAUGGCUGGAUAUUUGCUCCUGGAAACAGCUCCCCCAGGCUGUUCCUGCUGCCUAGAAUUUCUUCUGUCUUUUCCCUGAGGCUUUGUCCUCAUGGCAAACUUCAAGGCCAACAAAAGACAAAGGCAGAGGCAAGGCUGCCGCUGGAUAAAUGAGAAAGACACAGCAAGAGAGGGAACACAAACGGGGAG